UAUAGUGAUGGUUGAAAAUAAAAUAGUAUAGAGUCAUGAAAUCAAAACAAGUAUGAGAACGAGAGAAGCUUGAGAAAUUCUUAAUACUUGAUUAAGAAGUUGAGUUAAAGGUUUAGAAAAAUUAGAGGAAACAUGUGAAAGACGGAAAGCCGAAUUGGAGAUAUUAUAUCACGGUUUAAGAACCUAUGAAACUAAAAGAAUAUAAACAGAAACAAUAUCAAUCAAAGAGCUCAUUUUGUUCGAUUGUUCUGGAAACAAAGAUAAUCCAAGUUCUCUGAUUCGCCAAGUAUUUUCUUGUCUCAUCUGUAGUCCUUGUUGAAAUGCAUUUAUUUCAAUUACCGAUGGUUUAACAGAAACAAACAGAAUCGAGAAAAAACAUAUAUCAAAAGGAAGAAAAAUCCAACUUGUAGAAUAUCUUGGUAUUGAGAUAGAAAAAAAAAUAUAUGGGAACAACUGAUUCUGGGCGAUGACAAGCGCUACAGAAGUUAGAGGAAGCUUCCUAUAGAGGCAGCUUGCACGCAACUCGAUUAUUGCAACAAGUACCUGUUAGCAUACGUGCCGCACAUGUACCAGAGGAUAAAUUCAAGAAGUUUGUUUGGUGUUUGAUAAAAAGUCACAGAGAGAUAUCAAGAUAUAAACAAUGAUUAUACCUUGGUCCUUCCGCAGUUUUCAUCGUCGCUCUCAUCACUGCUGCUGCUGCUGUUGUCACUGCCGUCGCU